AUGUUAACACCUCAGCUGAACGCCCGCCGCUACUCCAAUUACCCACCGCGCUACACGCUUCCGCCCUUACACGAUUAUAAUGAUCUCCAAAAGCCCAAGCCCCGCCCCUCGCCGCGUGCACACGGCUCUGCCCCUUGCGGACCAGGAGCAGAAACAGGAAGUGAGACGGCAACCCGAGGAGCUUGGGCACUGGGCGGUCUGGACCAGGCCGGGGCUCUUAGCCAUUGCUCUGGGCAGUCUCCUGCUGCGGAAAGCUGCGGGACUGUGUUGAAUAUGGAGAAGCACUCAUUUAACUUGAAGUUUGCUGCAAAAGAACUUAAUAGGAAUGCCAAGAAAUGUGAUAUAGAAGAAAAGGCUGAAAAGGCCAAAAUUAAAAAGAACCAAGUGGAUAUGCUACUUCAAGAAAUGGCAGAUGAAGCUGUGAAAGAAAAUAUUUAGAUGCCUUGGGGGUAAUGUUGAUUUAAUAUCUGGAGGUUAUGAAAUUCUAUAUAACGUGGAUGAAAAUACUUAUAUUUACCAUCAAUGGUCAUAGUUAAGUUUUUGACUGUAGAAUGUAGUGUUUCAAGGACUUUCCAACAGUCAUGCAGUUCCUUACUAUGUUCAUAAACAUGUGGCUUUGUUCAAAUAAUCUUAGUAUUCCUUAAAAUGUCUAGCAAUAAACUCAUUUGGUGUGUUAUAAGAAAUACAUGAAACUGAUCAAUGGAGGCAGGAAUGAUUAAACAUUUGUAAGAUAUAUAGUGUAUACAACAUAUCAAAUGUGUGAUUUUUUUAGAAAAGAAUCUUCCAAAAGAAUUAUGGUAUAAUCAAGCCCUGGAGUCAUAAGUCUAGUUCGAAUCCUGAAAACUGAACAGUAUGUGAAAAGUGUCCAAGGGGUUAAAAAUACAACAGCUUUGCAAAUGGUCAUUUCUUUUUUAAAAAAUAAAUAUUUUAUAUCCAUUUGUGGUAUUUCUUUUUGGAAAUAGGAUGUCUGUUAUGGGCUGUUUAAUCCAGGUACUUCGUGAUUGAAGGAAUGACUUGACUGUGCUACACACAUGUGUUUUAUCAGUAUUCUCUGGCAUAUACUGCAACAUAACAUAGUAGUAAAGAAUAAAAGUACAGGAAACGGUAUUGUGAUACAGUGGAUUGGGCUGCCUCUUAGGAUGCCAGCACCCUAUACUGGAGUGCCGAUUCAUGUUCCAGCCACGUUGGUUCCACCCGAUUUGCCUGCUAACACAAUCAUGAGGUAGCAGAUGAUGGCUCAAGUAGUUGAGUUCCUGUCACCCACAUAGGAGACCUAGAUGGAGUUCUUGGCUCCUGGCUUUGGACUUGCUCAGCACAGGUAUUGGAGCCAUUGGGGAAGUGAACUAGCAAAUGGAAAAUUUUCAUCUUUAUGUCCUCUUUUUGUCACUCUACCUUUCAAACAAAUAAAUACAUCUCUUUUUUUAGAAAAAGAACAAAAAUACAUUUUUCAAGAUAAAGAUUAAAAUUGGGUGAUUUUGGGCUUCAGGUUUCCAGAUUAGGGAUGCUCAAAAAGUGGAAUAUUUGCAAAUUCCAAUAAAAUCCAUAUUCAAAACUCCAGAAAACUUCAAAAGUCUGAAACCUCUGUUCAUAAGCGUUGUG